AGAGUGCGUAAUAGCUCACUAGUCGAGAGGUCCUGCGCCGAAAAUGUCCGGGGCUAAAACACAACACCGAAGCUUAGGAAUGUAGAAAUACAUUGGUAGAGGAGCAUUCUUAAAGGAAUGAAGCAGUACCGGUAAGGAGCUGUGGACUUUUAAGAAGAGAGAAUGCCGGAAUGAGUAGCGAGAUGGAGGUGGGAAUCCUCCAGGCCGAAUAUCCAAGGUUUCCAGAGUAAAGCUGAUCUGCUCUGGGUAAGUCGGGGCCUAAGGUAAGGCUGAGAAGCGUAGCCGAUGGACAACAGGUUGAGAUUCCUGUACCGCGUAUCAUCAGAACUGUGGGGACACAGAAGGACAGCACAACCCGGGAAUGGAAAGACCGGGGCAAGCAGGGUAGGAGUUAAGCUGGCAAAUCCGCUUAACAAUCCGAAGCUGUGAUGCGGAGCGAAUUUAAGUAGCGAAGUGUGCGAUUCCGGCUGUCAAGAAAAGCCGCUAUUGUGUGAUACGUGCCCGUACCGUAAACCGACACAGGUAGAUGAGGAGAGAAUCCUAAGGCCGGCGGGAGAAGCAUUGUUAAGGAACUCGGCAAAAUGACCCUGUAACUUCGGGAGAAAGGGUGCCUGGGAAACCAGGCCGCAGAGAAUAGGCUCAAGCAACUGUUUAGCAAAAACACAGGUCUAUGCAAAACCGUAAGGUGAGGUAUAUGGGCUGACGCCUGCCCGGUGCUGGAAGGUUAAGAGGAGGGGUUAGCGCAAGCGAAGCUCUGAAUUGAAGCCCCAGUAAACGGCGGCCGUAACUAUAACGGUCCUAAGGUAGCGAAAUUCCUUGUCGGGUAAGUUCCGACCCGCACGAAAGGCGUAAUGAUUUGAGCGCUGUCUCGACAAUGCACCCGGUGAAAUUGAAAUACCAGUGAAGAUGCUGGUUACCUGCGCCAGGACGGAAAGACCCCAUGGAGCUUUACUCCAGCUUGAUACUGGGAUUCGGUACUGCAUGUACAGGAUAGGUGGGAGACUGAGAACUAUGAACGCCAGUUUGUAGGGAGUCGCUGUUGGGAUACCACCCUUGCGGUAUUGGAUUUCUAACCUGCAGCCGUGAACCGGCUGGGGGACAAUGUCAGGCGGGGAGUUUGACUGGGGCGGUCGCCUCCGAAAGGGUAUCGGAGGCGCUCAAAGGUUCCCUCAGAAUGGUUGGAAACCAUUCGAAGAGUGCAAAGGCAGAAGGGAGCUUGACUGCGACACCGACGGGUGGAGCAGGUAGGAAACUAGGACUUAGUGAUCCGGUGGUAUGAAAGUGGGAUUGCCAUCGCUCAACGGAUAAAAGCUACCCUGGGGAUAACAGGCUU
rnacentral:rRNA from 1 species